GACGCACGCUGGCGGCGUGCUUAACACAUGCAAGUCGAACGGAAAGGCCCUGCUUUUGUUGGGUGCUCGAGUGGCGAACGGGUGAGUAACACGUGAGUAACCUGCCCUUGACUUUGGGAUAACUUCAGGAAACUGGGUCUAAUACCGGAUAGGAGCUCCUGCUGCAUGGUGGGGGUUGGACAGUUUCGGCGGUUGGGGAUGGACUCGCGGCUUAUCAGCUUGUUGGUGGGGUAGUGGCUUACCAAGGCUUUGACGGGUAGCCGGCCUGAGAGGGUGACCGGCCACAUUGGGACUGAGAUACGGCCCAGACUCCUACGGGAGGCAGCAGUGGGGAAUAUUGCACAAUGGGCGGAAGCCUGAUGCAGCAACGUCGCGUGCGGGAUGACGGCCGUCGGGUUGUAAACCGCUUUCGCCUGUGACGAAGCGUGAGUGACGGUAAUGGGUAAAGAAGCACCGGCUAACUACGUG
rnacentral:rRNA from 1 species